GACGAACGCUGGCGGCGUGCUUAACACAUGCAAGUCGAGCGGAGCGGCGAACGGGUGAGUAAAGCGUGAGUAACUGCCCCCCUCUCUGGGAUAACAGUUGGAAACGGCUGCUAAUACCGGAUAGUGGGGGAUGACUCGCGUCCUAUCAGCUUGUUGGUGGGGUAGUGGCCUACCAAGGCGACGACGGGUAGCCGGCCUGAGGGGGCGACCGGCCACAGUGGGCUGAGUGACGGAGCAGGCGCGAACGGGGGGCAGCGGUGGGAAGUAUUGCACAGUGGGGGAAACGCUGAGGCAGCGGCGCCGGGUGCGGGAUGACGGCCUUCGGGUUGUGAACCGCUUUCAGCCAUGACGCGGUAGUGGCAGAAGAAGCACCGGCUAACUACGUGCCAGCAGCCGCGGUAAUAC
rnacentral:rRNA from 1 species